ensembl:snRNA U6 U6 spliceosomal RNA
GUGCUCACCUCAGGAGCACAUAUACUACAAUUGGAACGAUACAGAGGAGAUUAGCAUGGCCCCUGCACAAGGAUGACAUGCAAAUUUGUGAAGAGUUCAUAUUUUUA